AAGUCAGGCUCCUGGCUGGA
rnacentral:miRNA from 1 species